GUCAGCAUACAACACAAGUUAUUCAUCAAAGAUGGAUUUUAAACCAUUUGCCAGAAUACAGUUCUAUAUUUCUAAAGUAAUUUCCUAAAAAUCAAAUCAAUACACAACGCAUAGAACAAUCAACAAUAUCAAGUUAAAAACUAAAUAAUCAUGGUCCAACCCAAAUCAGUGUGACAAGAAACAUCAUGGCUACUGUAACGAGAUAGUAAAAUAGAUGAGAAGACAACAAAAUAGAAAAACAAUCCAAACCCUCUACUGUAAACGUUUGGUCCAUACUACAAGAAUCCAAAACCUUAUGGCUAUUACCCAAACGAGCAAUUGGAGAAAUAUUUUAGUUCCUGAUGAAACAACAAAUAACCAAAUGAAGCUAAAUCCAACUUCUGAAUCCAACAAAAAAAUGAAAACCAAUUCGCAUAGAAAGAAACCAACUGACCGGAUCAGAACCUCAACGACGACCUCGGAUCUGCUAAUGGAAAGCUGGUCGAUUAAACCUAGACCAGAUGGAAGAGCCUCAAUGACGACCUUGAACAGACCUCAAAUUAGAAGCUUUGAACGGAUCGCACCGGAUUCAACUCGAUUGAGCUUGGACGUCGAUUUUGGACGUCACAAGGGAUGUUUUAUGAUGGAUUUCGAUCUUUGGCCAUUGUUUGGUGGCUUGCCGAAUUUCUCAUCGGAUCCAUCACUUUCCUGCACAACAGUAAUUGUCUGAAAUCACUUGACAGAGAAGCUUCGUUUGGGUGGUGGAUGGUUGGUCUAGAUUUAAAAUGGAAAGGGUGGAAAUGGGUUGAAGAAGGAGAAAGGUUGUUGGUUUGGGUUUUGUCCAGCUGAUGAAGAAUGAUUGCUUCUCAGGAGUUGGAGAUGGAUCGUUUGGGGUGGGGUGGGGUGAAGGAGACAAUCCGAGGCAUGGGUCGUUUCUGAAAAGCUGCGCAGCUUUCCCCCCUUUUCAGCGUUAUUUUUUUUUCCUCUCUAGAUCUAGUUUUUGUUUUUAAUUAAGAUAAGGGUAAGGGAAUGGGCUUGGGUUAUGUGGGUUUGGGUAGGAAAAUUGUGGUUUAUGCUGGUUCUGGC
rnacentral:lncRNA from 1 species